CCAAAACUAAAACCUCAACUGAAAAACCCUAGUUCCCAAAUCCCAUUCCCUUCUUUGCUUUGCCGGCUCUCUCUACUUCCUCACGCUUGGCUUCAGCUCACAAUAUCUAAUCCUUCCCAAAUUGAAGCAUUUGUUCACAUUUAAUUGGUGGUCGUCAUGAGUUCUGCAAGUCCUGAUGUGGAAGUAGCAUCUGUUCGUAGGAAAAAA